AACUAACGCUGGCGGCGUGCCUAACACAUGCAAGUCGUACGAGAAAGUUGGCUUCGGCCGAUGAGUACAAGUGGCGCACGGGUGAGUAACGCGUGGAUAAUCUGCCCUUAAGUGUGGAAUAACGUACCGAAAGGUGCGCUAAUACCGCAUAAUGCCUGGCAACAUAAGUUGUCCGGCCAAAGAAGGCCUCUGCUUGCAAGCUUUCGCUAAAGGAUGAGUCCGCGUACCAUUAGCUAGUUGGUGGGGUAACGGCCUACCAAGGCGACGAUGGUUAGCUGGUCUGAGAGGAUGAUCAGCCACACUGGAACUGAGACACGGUCCAGACUCCUACGGGAGGCAGCAGUGAGGAAUAUUGCGCAAUGGGGGCAACCCUGACGCAGCAACGCCGCGUGAGUGAGGAAGGUUUUCGGACUGUAAAGCUCUGUCGAGCGGGAAGAAGUGUACCAUGGCUAAUAUCCAUGAUAUUUGACGGUACCGCUAGAGG
rnacentral:rRNA from 1 species